rnacentral:lncRNA from 1 species
GUUUCCUAUAGCGGGCUAGUCCAGGCGAGAACAAGGUUUCUUAACGUCAAGUAAGUUCGCUUGCCUUUUUUUUUUUUUGGGAACUUCACCAGAUAAGCAGCUUCAUCUUUCAUACGUAGGUUUUACUCAGAAAAGAAAAAGGAAAAAAGAAAGAAAGAAAAAAAUAGUUUGACGCCAAGAGGCAAAGCGGAAAAAUCGGUUACGUUGGUUAAGGUGCGCCAAGACGCUUUGGGGUUUCUGCUGCGUGUAAGAGGCAGUUCCUCCUUGGGACGAAGGCAACCAGAAACAAGUCUUCUGAGCUGGUCCAGGCUCUGAGAAUCGAAGCCUGGCAGGAGGGAGACCUUCCUGAACAAAUCCGGACUGAAAGCUUCUGCCCAUUGGCUGCCAAUGAGGGAACCCUUGCAGGCCAGCGGUUCGCUUGAUGGCUGUACUUUUGGGCCUCCAGCUCCGUUGUGUUGGCGAGGUUUUCUUCCUACUGUGGCAGGAUCUGUAUCCGAAGCUUCCAUUUUCUCACCUGGGCCCGUGUGACCACAGCACCCAAGACUCUCCUUCCUGUCUCCUGAAAUAUAUCCAAGGUAAGAGAGCACCUUCUGAAAAAGCAUUCCAUGGUUUACUUCCCUGGAUCCUUGGCCUAAAUAAAAAAGAACUGGGAUUAUAAAGAGUAUUUGUCACUUUGAAGACUGCCCAGGGAACUGAACUUCAGAACUGACCUCCAGUAUAGGAGAAAUGGGGAUGAAGAUGUUGACUAUCUUUCAUAUGAUACAUUCUAGUUAUUAUACUAGGAAAUGAAGCAGAAGUUUCCAGAUCCAGUAUCAGUCCACCAAUUUGAAACUCGUAUUUCUAUGCAAUGGUUAACGUGCUCAUUUUCGUACAUUUGGCUGCCAAAAACCAGAGGAUUUUGUGAAAGCUGUGAUGUCAUCUUCUGCCCAAUGGACAGAAACGUAGUUGCAUUUGAGCAAUAAAGUGUUCAAUUUCUUUCCCUCUCUCUCCUGCCUCUUCUCCCCCCUCCUCCCCUCUGUUAUUCCAUUGUUCCUUGGGUUAUGUUGUUGUUAUGGCAACAGCUAAGAUAAUAAACUUGUAAUAAACUUGGC